rnacentral:rRNA from 1 species
UACGAAGGGGGCUAGCGUUGCUCGGAAUCACCGGGCGUAAAGGGUGCGUAGGCGGGGCUUUAAGUCAGGGGGGAAAUCCUGGAGCUCAACUCCAGAACUGCCUUUGAUACUGAAGAUCUUGAGUUCGGGAGAGGUGAGUGGAACUGCGAGUGUAGAGGUGAAAUUCGUAGAUAUUCGCAAGAACACCAGUGGCGAAGGCGGCUCACUGGCCCGAUACUGACGCUGAGGCACGAAAGCGUGGGGAGCAAACAGG